GGGGUGGAGAAGUACAUAAUAUAUCGAUUUGUAAUCAUGAUCGUAAUGAACAUGCAAAUAAAUACGAUUCAAAAAGCGUUACCAUUUUAAUACGUGGGACAAAGAUAAAUAUCUGGUCUUUCUAUUUCGAUAAAAUGUAUAGUACUUCAACAAGAAUCAGUAAUGAACUAAAGAUGCAAAAGGAAUUGAUAAAGUUACGAAAAAAAUCGAUAGGUUUUAUAUUCACUUCUAAAACUCGUUUGCAUUUGCAUGCCUUCGAAUCGAGUAUAUUUCAAGAACAUUUCCCAAGGAUGCCGAUUAUUAAAUAUUCAGGUUACGGAGUAUAUGGAGUCAAUUUUAGAAAUACAAGGAAUUUAGAUAAUACAUGUAGAUUGGAAGAAACGGUCUUCAUGAUAAUAUCAUAUGAUUAAAAAUUUGAGAAUAUUUCUAACUUAUUGUAAUGUAUUCUAACAACAUUUAACACUUCAAGCCGUUGCUAUACUUUCAACUUUUUAUAACGGCAUUCACUCCCAAAGAUUCCACGUAGCGUUCAAGCAUUUGUGUUUUUCCUAUUUUAGACCGUAUUUUAAAACAUUUUUAAUGACUUGAUUCAAAUUCAUUACUAAUCAAUAGGCUUUUACUUUUUAUAAGACUUUUAAUAGCACUAAUAUAAAUUCAAGAAUCGUUCAUAUAAUCUUUAUCAUUGAAAACUUUGUCAUCAUUAGAAAAAUCUUCAUUACUCAGCCAAAAUUUUCAGCCAAUUUUCUUUUCGUUAUUUUCUAAUUGAAUUGUUAUUUUUUAAAUUGUAAAAAAAAUAUUUAAUAAAAUAAAAUAAGUCUUU